GACGAACGCUGGCGGCGUGCCUAAUACAUGCAAGUCGAACGCUUCUUUCCUCCCGAGUGCUUGCACUCAAUUGGAAAGAGGAGUGGCGGACGGGUGAGUAACACGUGGGUAACCUACCCAUCAGAGGGGGAUAACACUUGGAAACAGGUGCUAAUACCGCAUAACAGUUUAUGCCGCAUGGCAUAAGAGUGAAAGGCGCUUUCGGUUGUCGCUGAUGGAUGGACCCGCGGUGCAUUAGCUAGUUGGUGAGGUAACGGCUCACCAAGGCCACGAUGCAUAGCCGACCUGAGAGGGUGAUCGGCCACACUGGGACUGAGACACGGCCCAGACUCCUACGGGAGGCAGCAGUAGGGAAUCUUCGGCAAUGGACGAAAGUCUGACCGAGCAACGCCGCGUGAGUGAAGAAGGUGUUCGGAUCGUAAAACUCUGUUGUUAGAGAAGAACAAGGACGUUAGUAACUGAACGUCCCCUGACGGUAUCUAACCAGAAAGCCACGGCUAACUACGUG
rnacentral:rRNA from 1 species